GUACUAACCUGACAGGGGAGUGACGGUGAUCACAAGGCUUUUCUCCCGGGCUGAGGCUCGUCCACUGCACUCCCGGUGGGCCAACGCCUGCCAUGUCCGAAAUGUGGGACAGUCGAAUAUAAAAUCUGUGGUGUUGGGGACUGUGUUCGCGCUUCCCUGA